CGCGUAGGCGGCCUGCUAAGUCUGGAGUGAAAGUCCUGCUUUCAAGGUGGGAAGUGCUUUAGAUACUGGUGGGCUGGAGUGCAGGAGAGGAAAGCGGAAUUACCGGUGUAGCGGUGAAAUGCGUAGAGAUCGGUAGGAACACCAGUGGCGAAGGCGGCUUUCUGGACUGAAACUGACGCUGAGGCGCGAAAGCGUGGGGAGCAAACA
rnacentral:rRNA from 1 species